rnacentral:lncRNA from 10 species
ACUCAGUAGGCAAAAACCACAAUUCCUUUUGCACAACCUAUUAGGUUGUAAUCACUGAGAGUUUAGAAUUUAGGAGAAGCGUAAAGCUAAAUAUAUUGUUUUGUGAAUUGGUAAAUACAGGUGCUAUUUGAAGUUCAAGCUGUUGAUAAGAAGUGGAAACAGUCCUAGAAGAGAAGAAAGCAAGGAAAUGCACUUAUAGGAAUGCUUUUAUUUGAAGAAGAAAAAGAAAUUGGAGAAAAAGAAUAGAAAGAGGAAGAAUAACAUAAAAUCCUGUGACAAGGUGAGAAAGAGCAACAUGAGAAAUAUAUGGGGAAUUAGAGAAAAAGAAAUUGUCUUACAAAGUAAAAAUAUGAAAAGUACUAUUUGCAAAUCUAGAUUACUAUCAUAUGCAUAGUCUACAUCCUUUAUUAUUAUUCUACAUUUUGUGAUAUAUUUAAAUGAAGUGUUAACAGCUAUGUAGCUUGUAAGUUCAACUAAAUAAACUAAUAUAACUUUUAACUUAGCAUGUGUCAGAGUCUGUGGUGAAAUCUGGAGCUAAGAGGCUGAAUAUGGCGCAAUUUCAAACCUCUACUUAUUCACUCUACACUAUCUACCUAGGGAAACAGACAAUAACGCAUCAUAGCUGUUCAUUUCAAAUGGAAAUGCUAUAGCAGAAGUCUGUAAAGGAUUUGUGUAAAAGUGAGAUUAUCCAUGCAGUCUGCAAGACAUACGUUCAUGGAAUGAUAACCACAGAUACCAUUCAGAAGAUAGUUCAGAGGAGAUCAUAAUGAAGAGGUGGGCUUUUGAGAAAGUGAAUUUUAUUGCAGACAGAUAUAAGUUCUGCAGCGUAUUGCAGGAAAUUUUAUGACUCAAGAAUAGGAAAGUAGUAAACGUGAAGCUAGAAAAACAGACAAGAGCUGGAAAAUUAGGGAGAUUUUGAGUUAUAUUCAGAAUUCAGCUUUAAUUCUAUAUAGAAAAGGGUAUUAU